UUCCACAAGGCUGGGCUCUCGCUAAUCACCUUCUGUCUCGCUCCCUUUGUGAAAGAGCUGGGGAUUUAAAGGGCACCUCCGUCAAGCUCUCGGGCUGCGGAAGACUGGGAGGUUUCCUCCAUCGGGAAAACAGGACCAGUGACACUGACCUGCCUCGCAGGGGCACCAUGCGGCUGAUGGAAUGUCUGGAAGGCAACAUUGUCCAGUGGGGAAAGCACCAGCCUGGGGCUCAAAAGACCGGGGGUUUAUGCUUGGCUCAUUACUGGAACUCGGGCAUCCCCCAGCCGCCCUCGAGUCUCCCUUCUGCCCAGCGACGAGGCCUGUGGACGCCCCUCUUAGCCAUGGGAGCCGAAUCCCCGGCAGCAGGAAUCUGACUGCUUGCUUACAAAGAAUGCAUAGACAGCAGCGUGCGCAGGUAAACAACUCGGCGGCACCCGACCAAAAAUAUAGACAAAUCAAUGAACAGCAAUCCCCACGCAGCGGAGGGGAGGAGAAGGCUGUUAAGUGCGUCCAGCAGAGGAAUUGCUGGCUCCGGCAGCGACAGGGCCAAGCCCGGUGCGAGGCAAGGAGGAUCCA